rnacentral:lncRNA from 1 species
UUCUCGGCAAGACUCCAUAUUUGACUCCGCAGUAAGACUCCUUUCCCUUGAUGGCUUCUCUGAGAAGUUGGUUCCUCCCCAUGUCUGUCUGGAUUCAUGUGUGUGUGUUUUUGUAUGUGUGUUGGGGGUUGUCUGUGUGCCAGGGACAGGGUGAGUGGGAGGGCUGUCUAUCACCUCUCUGACCUAUUUUCUGCCUCAUCCUAUAGGUUAGAAACUGGCUCCGGAAUCACAGGAAGCAAUACAAGCUGUGGAUUGCCCCGAGACUUCAGACACCCGAGCAACGCCCUUCCCUUCAGCCCUGGAAUACCUAGUCUGGAGCGGGAAGGAUGUGGAUGCAUUUCCAACCCCGCUGAUGACAAUAUCGUUUCCGGAAGCAUCGCCAUGUCAUCUCUACUCAUCCAGUCCGGUAAGAUGCACUUAGAACAGGAUCUCAGCCCUCAGACUUGCAAGACUGUGUUGUCCAACCAGGACAUGAUACCUCAUCUCAUCAUACAUAUUAUUAGCUAUAUAUAUAUAUAGAGAGAGAGAGAGAGUUUAUACAUAUAGCCUUUAUAUAACCUUUUUAUACCAAAUUAACAAACACAGUGAAGUGUCAGUGGAACCUCAGUUCCAAUACCCAUAUCACCACUCCUACAGAAUUCCCUGACCUGGAAAAAGCAAUUGAAAAAUUCUCCUUUCCCAAUUACCUCUUUUACCCAUUUGUUUGAGGGAGGUGUCUUCCCUUUAAACACAUUUUCUCUUUGAUAUUUUACACUGAUAGACCCAGCCCCUUAGGGUAUUCUUAUCCGCACCCAUGCUUCAGUUGUAAAUGCUCUGUAAUGAACUAAGACAAGAGAAACAGCUUAAAAAGUCUAAACCGGCAAUAUAACUCUCAACCUUUGAAUUACCCACGUUUAAAAAGGUAUUUCUAAUCACAGGACACAUUUUUACAACACUUCACAACACUGGCCAGUUGAUUCAUCAUAACUAAUUUUAUGCAUAUUUUACACAGAAAGGCCACCACAACCAAUCCCUCCUGUUAAAUGAGUUGUUCAUUUCCACUCCCCUAGAAAAAGUGUCUAGAUCCUUAUAUUCCUGAGGCAUUGGCAUUCCCUCUCAUCUAUAUUCAUUCCCCUAUUACCUCUUUAUAGACAACCUUUAGGGAUUUUCCUUCAAGCCUCUCACUCUUGUCCAUAUUUACAACCUUUCCUCAUUCCGGCUACACCCACAUCGUUAUACACAAUCUCACUACAGUCAUCAUCUCAAAUCUCAACUCUGACAUCCCCAGAACAUCCUAUAUAAGAAUUCUAGCACCAUAACACGAGGGGGGCCUUAAUCCCAACAUGCUAACGCAAUCUUUGCUGUACUAAAAACAGAACGGAGAUGUUUUUACGGAAUCAUAAGGGACUUCCCUUCUUCAAAAGAGGCUAACACUCCUUGGACUGUUUAGAAUAUUGCUCUUGUAACUCGCUGAGUUCUUCUCCAGUAAAUCGAGUUAUCAUUCUGCCCUGAACAUUACCUUUUCGCCUAGCCCACGUGGAAAUUCCUGCCUGCCCCUCAGGUUCCCCCUCCUUGAUCAUCGGGUAAAAUGAGGCGGUGGGAAGGGGACUCUCAGUGUGGCUUCCCUCUCCUGGAAAAGGCAUGGCCUCACAAUUUUCAGGGCCAGGGACCCUCGAAGAGAUCCCAGGUCCAGUGGAGAAAUCUGGACCAUCUCCAUCCAAUACUAGAGAUACAUCCACAGGGGUGACCGGCUUCUGUCCGGCUAAUUCAAAUGAUCCCUUCACUAAAGGCUCUAGGGUCUUUUCCAAUUUGGUCAUCUGCCUCUUUCAGACCCGAGAGUUUACUCACGAGGCAGCUUCGUUCCUCUUUUCUCUGCCCUAUUGAUGCAGGCUUGCAAACUUUCAAUUUCUCCUCUACGUGGAUAAGCUCAACAAACAGGAGACUGAUGACGAUUUCCCUUCCUUUUCAAGCUUAAACCUCUGCCUAAGCCUUCGGCUAGAUUUCUAUUUCUCCAUUUAGGAUUUCCUGGUUUCCCCAUGAUCCAUUUAGCAACUCAAUGACCCACCUAACAAUAGUCCACCCAUUUCUUUUCAUAGGAUCCUUUCAUGCUUCACUGAGAUCGUCCAAUUCUCCCCUCGUCCUGGAGGUCUAUGCAUUCAUUUUAUGCAAUAGUGUUUAUUAAGCGCAGACUGUGUGCAGAGCACUGUACUAAGGUCUUGGGAAAGUAAAAUGCAACAAUUAACAGUGACAGUUGUAAGCCCUGCCUCAAAUGAGCUUACGGUCUAGCUGGGGGCGGGCGGAGGAAGGUUCGGGGGGAGACAGACAUUAAUACAAAUAAAUAUAAUUACAGAUAUGUGCAUUAGUGCUUUAGGGUUGGGGAGUGGGAAGAGUAAAGGGAGCAGGUCAGGGUGACACCGAAGGGAGUGGGAGAUGAGGAAAAGUGGGGCUUAGUCUGGGAAG